UGUCUGUGCCAGCUACUCUGCUGGAAAAUGCAGGUGUCUGGCAUUGGAAAUCUGUGUCAAUCUACAGCAGCUGGGAGCCUCUUGCAGUGUUUUUGCUUAGCAAAGCCACCCCAGUGCUUCUGGGUGCUGGCCAAUGACUACGCUGCUCGUAGAAGGAAAAUAUAAAGUAUAUUAAAUAAUAUAUAUUAAGAAAAAAGGAAGUGUAAGCUUUUACUUAGAGUAAACACUACAUUACACAGUCCAGAUAUUCUUGAUGGAGAAAUCAGUAAACCAAAUUACUUCCUCUUAUAGUGUUUUAUGGCUCACACUGCUUGUGUAUGCAAAGGUAGUUUUUUCAUUGACUUCAGUGAGAGCAAGAUAAGGCUGGAGAAUUGUGCAACAAAACUGUCAUCUAUAAAAGCUUUUACAUAGUAAACUUUUAUGUUUCUUCUUUGACAACACAAGUAAAUCCCCACUUAUUUGUUGAUACUGUAAUUGAGUCUAGCAACACCUGUGCCUGCUUCUACAUGUGUUGGGAGUUGCAAUCACUUUCCUGUGACUACAGAAAGGCUACCAGGAAGCAGGCUGUAAUUGUUAGAAGAUGAACAAGAUUUGUUAAAAGAAAGUUUGUUAGCUGGUAUUUAGGGGUGAACUGAGUGUAGAAACAAGAUGUGACUGAGGAACUCUACAAGCAAUGGAAAUGAUGAACUGCUCUGGUAUCCCCAGCAUGGCACAUGAAUUGGAAAAACUUUCAUCUGCUUGGCAGAAGCCCGCAGCAUGCAGUGCAAACAGAUCCCUGUCUGACAUCCCAAGCUACAUUUUCUAUUUCUGAGUUCGGCUUCCUGCAAUAUUUGUAGAGGUAAGUAGGGUUUGUCUGCAGUGUCUUCGGGCGUGCCUGAAAAAUGUUUUCUUUUGAUAAAGAAUUCAUUUUUUUCAGAGUAGUCCUCACCAUAGAAACUUGUUUUCAAUUUAUACUGAUAG